UGGGGAAUAUUGGACAAUGGGCGCAAGCCUGAUCCAGCCAUGCCACGUGAGUGACGAAGGCCUUAGGGUUGUAAAGCUCUUUUGGCGGGGACGAUAAUGACGGUACCCGCAGAAUAAGCCCCGGCUAACUUCGUGCCAGCGGCCGCGGUAAUACGAAGGGGGCUAGCGUUGUUCGGAAUUACUGGGCGUAAAGCGCACGUAGGCGGACUUAUAAGUCAGGGGUGAAAUCCCGGGGCUCAACCUCGGAACUGCCUUUGAUACUGUAAGUCUCGAGUCCGGAAGAGGCGAGUGGAACUCCUAGUGUAGAGGUGAAAUUCGUAGAUAUUAGGAAGAACACCAGAGGCGAAGGCGGCUCACUGGUCCGGUACUGACGCUGAGGUGCGAAAGCGUGGGGAGCAAACAG
rnacentral:rRNA from 1 species